rnacentral:rRNA from 1 species
AUUGAACGCUGGCGGCAGGCCUAACACAUGCAAGUCGAACGGUAACAGGGAUCAGCUUGCUGAUUCGCUGACGAGUGGCGGACGGGUGAGUAAUGUCUGGGAAACUGCCUGAUGGAGGGGGAUAACUACUGGAAACGGUAGCUAAUACCGCAUAACGUCGCAAGACCAAAGAGGGGGACCUUCGGGCCUCUUGCCAUCGGAUGUGCCCAGAUGGGAUUAGCUAGUAGGUGGGGUAACGGCUCACCUAGGCGACGAUCCCUAGCUGGUCUGAGAGGAUGACCAGCCACACUGGAACUGAGACACGGUCCAGACUCCUACGGGAGGCAGCAGUGGGGAAUAUUGCACAAAGGGCGCAAGCCUGAUGCAGCCCUGCCGCGUGUAUGAAGAAGGCCUUCGGGUUGUAAAGUACUUUCAGCGGGGAGGAAGGGAGUAAAGUUAAUACCUUUGCUCAUUGACGUUACCCGCAGAAGAAGCACCGGCUAACUCCGUG